rnacentral:rRNA from 1 species
AUUGAACGCUGGCGGCAUGCCUUACACAUGCAAGUCGAACGGUAACGGGUCCUUCGGGCUGCCGACGAGUGGCGAACGGGUGAGUAAUAUAUCGGAACGUGCCCAGUAGUGGGGGAUAACUGCUCGAAAGAGCAGCUAAUACCGCAUACGACCUGAGGGUGAAAGGGGGGGAUCGCAAGACCUCUCGCCAUUGGAGCGGCCGAUAUCAGAUUAGCUAGUUGGUGGGGUAAAGGCCUACCAAGGCAACGAUCUGUAGUUGGUCUGAGAGGACGACCAGCCACACUGGGACUGAGAAACGGCCCAGACUCCUACGGGAGGCAGCAGUGGGGAAUUUUGGACAAUGGGCGCAAGCCUGAUCCAGCAAGGCCGCGUGCAGGAAGAAGUCCUUCGGGUGGUAAACUGCUUUUGUCAGGGAAGAAAUCUUCUGGGCUAAUACCCCGAGAGGAUGACGGUACCUGAAGAAUAAGCACCGGCUAACUACGUG